UCUGGGCGUUGUCCGUGUUUUUGUUGUAGAACUUUAACCCUUUCACAGUGUGUUUUCACUUCAUCACAGUUAAUUAUAUGGUGUGUUAUUCCAACCUGUUCUCACUCCCAACUUGUCAAACAUCUCCAAUCAGAAACAGAUAGACGGAGGCACCCUUUAGCGACAGUAUGUGACGAACCGGGCUUUCAGCCAACUCCAAUGUAGACCCACCCGCGGCGUUAUUUGACGUUCGGAGCAAGUGACGUAGUAUCAAUGGCGUGAGAGUCCGCUAAGGCGGGUGGGCGUGAGGGGUCAAACAAACACAAGACUUUCAACCAGCAGACCGUGUUGGUGUCCCGUCUGAAACUAAAAGUAACGUUGACUUAUUUAGUCACAUGACUCAUCGGUAUCGUCAGCACUGUGAGUCGAUAGUGAAGUUAACAUCAACCACAACCGUUUCCUAACCCUAACUAAGUGGUUGUGUUGCCUAAACCUAACUUCCUGUGAAAACGGAAGUUUAUUUUGAAAGGACACUAUGCAUGUAACGAGCAUAUAUUCAAUUCAGUAAAAAAUAGAAACAGGAACAGAAGAAAAACUAGCACAGAUGUCGUUCAUUUACUGAGAGGAAACACCAGAGGCAGGAUACAAACUCUAACUUUGUAUACCAACAUAUUACAAUAAGCAAAACAGACAAGAACACAUGAAUAGAUAAACAGAUAAAGCUCAGUUAAAGGCCAGACUAAAAAGGUAGGUUAUGAGUUUCUAGAUCUAGUUUUAGAAAAGUUAUAAAUCUUACAUUAGCUAAAUUGAAAUUGAAUUGAAUUAUUUUUAGUGUUGUGUGUUUUUAAUAUGUUUUUAUAUUGUGAUGUGUUUAUCGUACUCCACGUCUUCUACUGUAUCUCAGUAUCUACAGUGCUGAAAUCAUUGUAAAUAAAUGUUAAUUUUUGUGUUAAUAUCCAUUUAUCUUUCCCUAAAGCAUCCCAGUAAAUAAAUAAAUAAGUUGGUCUGAA